CGAAGUUUUUGGUUUGGUUCCGAAUUCUGAUUCCGUACAACUGGAGCGGAUUGAAGUGCGUCCGGCGAUGAUGCAUCGAUUUGCGGAAAUCAGCGGAAAGCCGCUACCGCCACUUCUGAGCAAAUAAUGGAGUGGUACCGCAAGCAGCAGAUUGAAAUCAACGGAGGAGGAAGAACUGAACCCUGCCGAACAUUCCAAGGAUCUGCAGGAUGCUGGCAAAAUUUAGUGGAAGCGGCUACGGAGUGCAGACGGCUUCGAAAAGUGCCCGGAAUCAAUUAGAGAUAGUCCCGCUCGCGGAAGCCAUCUUCGGAUAAAUGUGUUUUUUUUUUCAACUUAAGUGAAUUUUUUUCAAUAAAUUUGAAUUUGUGAACCA